rnacentral:rRNA from 1 species
CACGGAGUUAGCCGGUGCUUCUUCUGCGAGUAACGUCAAUGCAAUGUGCUAUUAACACACUGCCCUUCCUCCUCGCUGAAAGUGCUUUACAACCCGAAGGCCUUCUUCACACACGCGGCAUGGCUGCAUCAGGCUUGCGCCCACUUGUGCAAUAUUCCCCACUGCUGCCUCCCGUAGGAGUCUGGACCGUGUCUCAGUUCCAGUGUGGCUGGUCAUCCUCUCAGACCAGCUAGGGAUCGUCGCCUAGGUGAGCCAUUACCCCACCUACUAGCUAAUCCCAUCUGGGCACAUCUGAUGGCGUGACGGCCCCGAAGGUCCCCCACGUUUCGGUCCCGAAGGACCGUUAUGCGGUAUUAGCUUACCGUUUCAGUAGUUACUCCCCCUCAUCAGGCACGUUCCCAGACAUUACCUCACCCGUCCGCCGCUCGUCACCCAGACGAGCAAGCUCUCCUGU